rnacentral:rRNA from 1 species
ACACUGGGAUAGCCUUUCGAAAGAAAGAUUAAUACCGGAUGGCAUAGUCUUCCCGCAUGGGAUGAUUAUUAAAGAAUUUCGGUUGUCGAUGGGGAUGCGUUCCAUUAGGCAGUUGGCGGGGUAACGGCCCACCAAACCUACGAUGGAUAGGGGUUCUGAGAGGAAGGUCCCCCACAUUGGAACUGAGACACGGUCCAAACUCCUACGGGAGGCAGCAGUGAGGAAUAUUGGUCAAUGGACGAGAGUCUGAACCAGCCAAGUAGCGUGAAGGAUGACUGCCCUAUGGGUUGUAAACUUCUUUUAUACGGGAAUAAAGUUAGCCACGUGUGGUUUUUUGUAUGUACCGUAUGAAUAAGGAUCGGCUAACUCCGUGCCAGCAGCCGCGGUAAUACGGAGGAUCCGAGCGUUAUCCGGAUUUAUUGGGUUUAAAGGGAGCGUAGGCGGGUUGUUAAGUCAGUUGUGAAAGUUUGCGGCUCAACCGUAAAAUUGCAGUUGAUACUGGCGACCUUGAGUGCAACAGAGGUAGGCGGAAUUCGUGGUGUAGCGGUGAAAUGCUUAGAUAUCACGAAGAACUCCGAUUGCGAAGGCAGCUUACUGGAUUGUAACUGACGCUGAUGCUCGAAAGUGUGGGUAUCAAACAGGAUUAGAUACCCUGGUAGUCCACACAGUAAACGA